rnacentral:tRNA from 1 species
GGAUGUAGCUCAAUGGUAGAGUACCUGCCUAGCAUGCACUAGGCCCUGGGUUCAAUCCUCAGUACCA